ACGUAUAAUGCUUGCACGGUCGUGUGCCGAAACUGAUCGCAUAUUUCGGUCGGUUUGUUAACUGCUUCCGUAGCUCAACGGGCGAAGCUCUGACUACAGAGACGAAGGUCUGAGGAUCGAUCCUAGCGCGGGCUAACUUUUUCCAAGUUUCUUUCUAUUUUAUAAUUCAAAUUUUAAAAUCUGGUUGUGGGAAUGACAAGUUAAAAUAGUGACACUUGAGCUGGUAACGGCCGAUAAAGCAGUCAUGUCCUGCACUGUACCUGGAGAUUAACAAUUUAAAAAGUAACGAAUUUCCGAAAUCUAUAGUUACCAUUAAGUAAAUUCUGGACAUUCCGUCAGUGGCAGUGACGAAGUUUAUUUUUGUAUUUAAAGUGCUGGAAUAUCUCCGAAAGGGCCUACCGAAACGCCCUUGAGAUACGGCUACAAUAAAAAUAGUUUACAAACAGACUGAGCUAGAAAGACUGGCAGGGUGUGGAUGAGUCCCCGUCGAACAUCCGACGAAAUUUCACCUGGCGCCCACUUAUUCAUAAUUUAGAUUAAGUAAUUCGUUAGUUUUAUUUAGGUUAAGUAGUGUAUUUUAGUAAAUAAAAGAAUCAUUGUGUUUAAAGUUAG